rnacentral:lncRNA from 1 species
UUUCCCACUUUCUCAUUUUAGUACCCUAUGGUUUAAAGUGUAGCAAGUUAGUGCCAUGUGGUUUCAUUUUUAUCUUUUCGUUAGUUUUUUCGUUAAUAUUCCAUUAUAUUAUAUACAAAAAACUUCAGAUACUCUACCUAGAUUUAUCGAAUGUUCACUUUAGUAUCCUUUAAUUUUAACUUUGUCACUGAUUUAACGAAAAAAAUUAGUGAAAUAGAUAAUAAAAAAAUAAAAAUGAAACCACAGGGCACUAAAUUGAUACACGUUAAACUAUAUGAUACUAAAGUGAAAAAGUGUGAAACCACAUAGUAGGUAUUUGAAGUUUUUUCUUUUUUUGGUUUGUG